rnacentral:rRNA from 1 species
AAUAUUGCACAAUUGGGGAAACCCUGAUGCAGCAACGCCGCGUGAGCGAUGAAGGCCUUCGGGUCGUAAAGCUCUGUCCUAAGGGAAGAUAAUGAAGUUAACUUAGGAGGAAGCCCCGGCUAACUACGUGCUAGCAGCCGAGGUAAUACGUAGGGGGCAAGCUUUAUCCGGAAUCAUUGGGCGUAAAUGGUGCGUAGGCUGCCCUAUAGGUCAGAGGUAAAAGGCUACGGCUCAACCGUAGUAAGCCUUUGAAACUGUAGGGCUUGAGUGCAGGAGAGGAGAGUGGAAUUCCUAGUGUAGCGGUGAAAUGCGUAGAUAUUAGGAGGAACACCAGUGGCGAAGGCGACUCUCUGGACUGCAACUGACGCUGAGGCACGAAAGCGUGGGUAGCGAACAG